rnacentral:rRNA from 1 species
GGGGGGAGCAAGCGUUGUUCGGAUUUACUGGGCGUAAAGGGCGUCUAGGCGGUUUGGAUAGUCGGAUGUGAAAGCCCUCGGCUUAACCGAGGAAUUGCAUUCGAAACUCCCAGACUUGAGUACGGCAAAGGUGAGCGGAAUUCUCAGUGUAGCGGUGGAAUGCGUAGAUAUUGAGAAGGACACCAGUGGCGAAGGCGGCUCACUCGGCUGAUACUGACGCUGAAGCGCGAAAGCCAGGGGAGCGAACGGGGGAUUAGAUACCCCGGUAGUCCUGGCCGUAAACGAUGUACACUGGGUGUAGGAGGUAUCGACCCCCUCCUGUGCCGAAGCUAACGCAUUAAGUGUACCGCCUGGGGAGUACGACCGCAAGGUUG